rnacentral:misc_RNA from 1 species
AAAAAAAAAUGAUCAAAUUAGCUGCAACAGAAGCAAUUUUAAAAGGUAUAAAUAAAUUAAGAUUUAAUCCACAAUACAGGGUUGAGAGGUGGAUAAUACUUGGCAUACACAUACGUAUCAACCCAGUGUAUGUGCUUAGCGCCUUCCAGAUGCUACUGACUCAGCUGAGUAGAGGUGUUUCACUCGCGAAAGAACUGAAUCUUGUGCAGGAUCAUAAGGAUGGUCCUUUGA